GAUGAACGCUAGCGGCAGGCCUAAUACAUGCAAGUCGGACGGGAUUGAGGAGCUUGCUUCUCAUGAGAGUGGCGCACGGGUGCGUAACACGUAUGUAACCUACCUUAGUCAGGGGGAUAGCCUCUCGAAAGAGAGAUUAACACCGCAUAACAUUAUGAUAUGGCAUCAUAUUAUAAUCAAAUAUUUAUAGGACUAAGAUGGGCAUGCGGAACAUUAGCUAGUUGGUAAGGUAACGGCUUACCAAGGCUACGAUGUUUAGGGGAUCUGAGAGGAUGACCCCCCACACUGGUACGGAGACACGGACCAGACUCCUACGGGAGGCAGCAGUAAGGAAUGUUGGUCAAUGGACGAAAGUCUGAACCAGCCAUGCCGCGUGCAGGAAGACGGCCCUACGGGUUGUAAACUGCUUUUGUACCGGAAUAAACCUUUGUAUGUAUACGAAGCUGAAUGUACGGUAAGAAUAAGGAUCGGCCAACUCCGUGCCAGCCGCCGCCGUAA
rnacentral:rRNA from 1 species